GCGCGCGUGGCGGAACUGGCAGACGCACCAGGUUUAGGUCCUGGCGGGAAACCAUGGGGGUUCGAGUCCCUCCGCGCGCACCA
rnacentral:tRNA from 1 species